GCAAGUUUGGCAAUAAAAUAUUGGAGGCUGCCCAAGGGACACAGGCUGCACCCAUCACCAGGGGAAUCCAGCAUGGACAACGCUACAUGGAAAGGAGAUUCUGUACGUCGUGCAUUUCCCAUGGAGAGAAGCUGCAUGAUCCCUCCUGAGGAUGCAGAAUAGAAAAAGGUCAACAUGACUGGCAAAGGGCUCCCUCCUUUCCCAGGACUGCCCCGGAUUCCCUAUCCCAAGCAGGGCCAUUUAUCAUCAGAUAUGUGUCUUGGGCCACUGCCGCCACAUCCACCACCUCCCUGUCCAC